rnacentral:lncRNA from 1 species
GCAUGUUGGGUCAGUUGGUCUUAUCCAGCUUGGUCCACACCCUGUUUUCGAGGGUCUUAUUUGCCCUUAGCCUCUGCAGAUAUUUCAACAGUUUCCCUUUGCUAGUCAUCUGAAACUGCCACCUGGAAUUUUCUACUCUCCUGUGACCACCUUGAUUUAUUCCUGUCUCAGUAUUUAUAAGGAAAGGGAUGCAUAGCAAGUUUAAAUAUCUUGCAGAAGGACACACAGUUUGCAAGUGAAGGAGCUCUAAUUCGAAGACUGGUGGUCUGCAUCCAGAGUUGAUCAUCCUAAAUACCAUGCUGAACUGGUUGCUCCCAAAGACUGAACAGUAUUUUUUACAAUAAGAUAUUCAUUUGUACGUCAACAAAUAGUUGCCAAUUCUUUGUAAAAUAAAAUACAAUGAACUGAAUAAAAUUUAAUACAUCAGAGUAAAUUUUACAUAGAAAAGUAUGUAUUAUUUUCUUUUAGUUAUGCAAUUCCACUUAUAUGAGCUAUCUAGUGUAGUCAAACUCACAAAAACAGAAAGUAAAAUAGUGGGCUGGGGGAAG